rnacentral:rRNA from 1 species
UACGUAGGUGGCAAGCGUUGUCCGGAUUUACUGGGCGUAAAGAGCGCGCAGGCGGUCAGAUAAGUCGAAUGUGAAAGCCCCCGGCUCAACUGGGGAGGGUCAUUCGAUACUGUUCGACUCGAAGGCAGGAGAGGGAAGCGGAAUUCCCGGUGUAGUGGUGAAAUGCGCAGAUAUCAGGAGGAACACCGGUGGCGAAGGCGGAUCUCUGGGCCAUUACUGACGCUGAGGAGCGAAAGCGUGGGGAGCGAACAGG